GACGAACCGAGCGAACGUUGUUCGGAAUCACUGGGCUUAAAGGGCGCGUAGGCGGGCUGCGGCGUCCGGGGUGAAAUCCUCCCGCCCAACGGGAGAACGGCCUCGGAUACGGGCGGCCUGGAGGGGGGUAGGGGCGGGCGGAACUGUGGGUGGAGCGGUGAAAUGCGUUGAGAUCCACAGGAACUCCGGUGGCGAAGGCGACCCGCUGGACCCCACCUGACGCUGAGGCGCGAAAGCCAGGGGAGCGAACGGG
rnacentral:rRNA from 1 species